rnacentral:lncRNA from 1 species
UAAUUUGGGAGGUUUAGGGCUCCAUCUUCAGAGUCACUCAGGCUCUCCCUGGGAAGGAGGGAUUGAAGAGUCAGGGAGCGGAAUGUCAGGAAUUACCCUGCAGGUGCCCGGGUGUAGGAGGAGCCACUUCCUGCCCCUCCCAGAACCAGGGCUCACCCUCAGCCUGGUCAGGCCAGAGCCUAUAAAACACAUCUCAGGCACCCGCUCCUCAUCCACCCUGAACCUCGGGGACUGCCUGUCCAGAUCUGGAUCUGAGCAGCCUCUCUGAGACUCACCUGGGAGGGGCGCUGUGAGGUCACCAAGGUGCUGGAUGAUACGGCUCCCCAGGGAGCGGAUUGAAUUGCCAAGUGGAUGGAGAAGAAAUACCGAAAAUACCAGGAGAAGAUUAAUACCUUGAAGAUUCAUCAGCCAAGUGUGAAUUAUUGACUUCAGUUUACCUCUGAGGAUGAGCUUGUGGUUGUCCCUGUGGGGCCAACAGGACAGAGGAGAGAAGUUCUGAGAGGGUGGUUGGGAGGGGCCACAAGGGAGUCACUCACAGCUGAGCUGCCUGAGAAGAUGGAUCUGGGAGAAACUGAGGAAGCCUCUGACGAACAUGCGCUUGGCAGCCCCUUGCUCUGAAGCCCUGAUGAGGAGGUUGGUGUCAAAGUCUCAUCUUAAAGAGUGAGCGAAUUUGGAGGAGGCCUUUGUCUCAAAAGUCCAACUCUGCUCAACCUGCACCUCAGGAGAAGACAGGGAGGAGUGGGGGCCAUUCCCCUGCAGUGGAGGAAAUCUAAGUAGAGGUCAUUAGAAAUAAGACCCAAGAGAAGGAAGAGAGGAUGACAGUGACCGGAACACACUGGGAAUGUGAAAUGACAGUUUCAUUCUAACCUGAUUUCCAGACAGACCUUUGGAGAACACCCGGGGAAACAGAAACCUCUCCCUGGUAACCGCUGGGUCCCCACAAGGCUGUAGCGCCAGGAGAACAGGAGAGAAGGAGGCUCCCCGAGGCUGGGGAGGCCCGUGAUCUUGCAUUGUGGUUCCUCAGAGCCGUGGACCGUAUCAGCCACAGCCCGGACUGCUGACCACCCCCCCAGUGGUGGGAGCUCCGGGAGCCUGGGGACUCAGGCUGUGCUGCCCCAGUGCUGGGGUCUCCCAGGAAGAGACUGGAGGUGAAUGUGAGCUGGCCCCUGGGCUGGCGCUGUAGGGGCAUUUGAGGGCCCUGGCAUUGCUGGUGGUGUUUGGCAAGGUAUCUCAGCCUGAGGGUGAAUUAAAUGAGACAGAUGCAUCAAACCUGA